rnacentral:lncRNA from 1 species
GUUUAUGCACGGUAAUGGUUUCCCAUGUCAUUAUCUACUUUGAGUUGAUUAAUUUAUGUCGAUAUUAUUAGGAGGUUAACUCCACAUAGGUCCAGUUAGAGCAAGAUCUUACUAUCUUAGUAUCGGAUGUAUUUCUCGCAUUCAAGUUAGCGCUGUUUGUACUUCACAUGAAAAGAGAUACAUUACAUUUUAGGUUUCAAUAUUUUGCCUUAAAUUUAUUGUCCAUUCUUUCACUGGAUUUUCAAGACGUGGCAUUAUGUAUGUUCAUGUAUGACGCCCUUAAGAAGUAAACGAUUGUUUGCAACUCCUUACAUCAAGAUAUGAUGCUGGUGUAUUUUGGUAGGUCAUGGAGACGUGGACGCGUCGGCGGCGGAGGCCAAGGCCGAAGCCUCACCGCCGAUGUCGCUGCUCUGACUGGCCACCAGGUUCCGCGUCCUGCUACUCAAGCGGUGGAAAACCAAUUAAGGCCCCAGCGACGGACGGGGCUGGGCACGUUCAGGUGCCAAGGUCAUUGCCGGCGGUGGUGAGCAGAAUUGAAGCAUGUUAUGGACUGGCAUGGUGGCGAGAUGAGAGGAAGCGCGGAGCUGCUCGCAG